UUGUGGAAGGAAGAGAAGCGACACACAAAAUGAGGUCUUCUCGUUUAACAGUAUAGAAGAGAUCUGAUAUGAUUGCUAAUAUAUCAACCAGAGUUCAUUUCAAUACGAAUAAAUAUAUUCCUUUAAAGUUGUAUUUCAUAUCGAUUUCUACCCAUAGUUCAAAUAUUUAACGAUGAAAAAUUGAUGUCAAUAUAUGGUCGAAUACUGUCUCAACC
rnacentral:lncRNA from 1 species